rnacentral:piRNA from 2 species
UCCUCCUUGAUCAGUAGGUUGCUGAGAGC